ACACGACUACAUUAGAUACCCGGGUAGUCCUAGCCGUAAACGAUACUCGCUAGGUGUCGGCCACGGUGCGACCGUUGUCGGUGCCGUAGGGAAGCCGUGAAGCGAGCCACCGUGGGAAGUACGGCCGCAAGGCUAGAAACUUAAAGGAAUUGGCGGGGGAGCACAACAACGGGUGGAGCUUGCGGUUUAAUUGGAUUCAACGCCGGAAAUCUUACCGGGACCGACAGCAACAUGAAGGCCAAGCUGAAGACUUUGCCGGAUUAGCUG
rnacentral:rRNA from 1 species